UACUACCACCAAUACUACCAAUAGUUAUAAAUAGUUAUAAAGCCUAAUUCAUGUAUAUCCAGAUUACCAUCUAAUGUUCUUCCUCCAAACCCAUUUUAUGAUUGGGAUUACAGGCAGUUCUUUAGGACUGCUCUCAAAUAAUUGAAAUGUUACUAAACAAGGUUAUACUUAUCAAAUUAAAUAGCUCUGGUCUCCAGUAUAUUGGCGAAUUCGGUUCUUUGUACUUAAUUUAUUAGCAUGAUUUCUUUUUAAUAUGUUGUGUACAGACUUAAUUACUUCUCUGUCUACUUUUCUUACUCCAUGUAGGUUUCCCAGAGACUAUGGGUUGAGGAGGAAUUGGAAGUUUGUCGGCUUAGACCUGGUAUCAUUCCAUCAGUGUUUAACUUCCUGGCUUAUCUUGGAAGAGUACGUGCCAGAAAGACCACAACCAAGCAGCCUUGAGAUCUUAGACAGCGUCUCCCUCAGGUCCCUCUCUAUCUCCCCACACAUCCACCAACCACUGGAACACAUCUCCAAAGUUCUGCCGGGCCAGCUCAGCUUCCCCUCAGAAGAAGUGCUGCCACCUGCCAGAUGAAGGAGCCUUUUGAGAGGCAGCUGGCAUCGUGAUUGGACUGUACUUUGGUCUGUUCCAAUCCAGCUUCAGCUCCAGAGACGGCAGGCGGGACGAGUCAACGGAGGCCUGGUGGACGAAGGCAUGCAGCUGAGUACAAUCCAGAAAACAACAGAGGAGGAGUGCAGCAGCCCAGAGCCAGAACAGAGUAGCAUCGUAUGUCUCUUAGAAAACAUCAUAGUAUAGCCUUUGGUAUGAAAAAACGGCACAAUAUACAUCGUAUAUUGUACAAAUAACAAGUCAAAGGAAAGAGACAUACAUUGUAGAAUUGUAGUAAUUGUGGACUGACUGAUUUACUGAUUAUCAGUAUUUUAUUUUUUACUGAUUUACAGUAAUAAAUACAUUUAAAAAUGG